GUACAUUGUUUGGGCAUGCAUCAGCGGCUAGCGGAACAUUAUAGGGGGCGAACAUCCAUGCAAGGAGUUGAACCCUUGCGAAAGACGAUGCGUCAUACCGUGUCUGUCUGUAUAUAAACGUAUUUUUGAAUGUCGAUAAGAUAAAGGAAACGUUGUCCCGACGACGAACAUAUAUAACAGCUCGGUACAUUUCAUAACUGUUCAGUCGUAUCCCAGGUUUAUAUCGAUGGUCUGUAAAUGCUCAAACAAGUGCUUCGGUGUAUUCAACUAACUUACCGAUCUUGACCCAUAGGAAUUCGUUCAUGAGCAUUCAAUUCAGCCAUCUCAAGAGAGUGUAUACAACAUGAC